CUACGGGGUGCUCCAGUGGGGAAUCUUCCGCAAUGGGCGAAAGCCUGACGGAGCAAUGCCGCGUGAGUGAUGAAGGGAUUCGUCCCGUAAAGCUCUGUUGUCUAUGACGAAUGUGCAGAUUGUGAAUAAUGAUUUGUAAUGACGGUAGUAGACGAGGAAGCCACGGGCUAGCUACGUGCCAGCAGCCGCGGUAAUACGUAGGUGGCGAGCGUUGUCCGGAAUUAUUGGGCGUAAAGAGCAUGUAGGCGGUCCGGUAAGUCCGGAGUGAAAAUGCGGGGCUCAACCCCGGAUGGCUCUGGAUACUGUCGGACUCGAGUGCAGGAGAGGAAAGGGGAAUUCCCAGUGUAGCGGUGAAAUGCGUAGAUAUUGGGAGGAACACCAGUGGCGAAGGCGCCUUUCUGGACUGUGUCUGACGCUGAGAUGCGAAAGCCAGGGUAGCGAACGGGAUUAGAUACCCGGGUAGUC
rnacentral:rRNA from 1 species